AACAAACGCUGGCGGCGUGCCUAACACAUGCAAGUCGUACGAGAAAAUUGGCUUCGGCCGAUGAGUAAAGUGGCGCACGGGUGAGUAACGCGUGGAUAAUCUGCCCUUCAGUUGGGAAUAACUCAUCGAAAGGUGGGCUAAUACCGAAUGAUACUGCGAGACUUUGGUCGAGCAGUCAAAGAGAGCCUCUGCUUGCACGCCCUCGCUGAAGGAUGAGUCCGCGUACCAUUAGCUAGUUGGUAGGGUAACGGCCUACCAAGGCGACGAUGGUUAGCUGGUCUGAGAGGAUGAUCAGCCACACUGGAACUGAGACACGGUCCAGACUCCUACGGGAGGCAG
rnacentral:rRNA from 1 species